GAUGAACGCUGGCGGCGUGCCUAAUACAUGCAAGUCGAGCGAACAGAUGAGAAGCUUGCUCCUCUGACGUUAGCGGCGGACGGGUGAGUAACACGUGGAUAACCUACCUAUAAGACUGGGAUAACUUCGGGAAACCGGAGCUAAUACCGGAUGAUAUAUUGAACCGCAUGGUUCAAUAGUGAAAGACGGUUUUGCUGUCACUUAUAGAUGGAUCCGCGCCGCAUUAGCUAGUUGGUAAGGUAACGGCUUACCAAGGCAACGAUGCGUAGCCGACCUGAGAGGGUGAUCGGCCACACUGGAACUGAGACACGGUCCAGACUCCUACGGGAGGCAGCAGUAGGGAAUCUUCCGCAAUGGGCGAAAGCCUGACGGAGCAACGCCGCGUGAGUGAUGAAGGUCUUCGGAUCGUAAAACUCUGUUAUUAGGGAAGAACAAAUGUGUAAGUAACUAUGCACGUCUUGACGGUACCUAAUCAGAAAGCCACGGCUAACUACGUG
rnacentral:rRNA from 1 species